rnacentral:SRP_RNA from 1 species
GCCAGGCUCUGUGUCAUGUGCCUGUACUCCCAGCUACUUGGAGGCUGAGGCAAGAGGAUUGUUUGAGUUCUGGGCUGUAAUGUGUUAUGCUGAUUGGGUGUCCAUAACAAGUUUGGCUUCAAUAUGGUGACCUCCCAGGCGUGGUAGAUUACCAGGUUGCCUAGCAGGGGGUGAACUGACCUAGGCUGGAAGUGGAGUAGGUCAAAACUCCUGUGUUGAUCAGGAGUGGGAUCAUACCUGUGAAUAGCCACUGCCCACAAGCCUGAGUGACACAGUGAGACCCUGUCUCU